rnacentral:tRNA from 1 species
AUCUAUAUAGUUUAUACAAAACAUUAAUCUUGUAAAUUAAAAAUAGACAUAUUCUUAUAGAUA